GACGAACCGUGCGAACGUUGUUCGGAAUCACUGGGCUUAAAGGGCGCGUAGGCGGCUUACCAAGUCCGGGGUGAAAGCUUUCGGCUCAACCGGAAAAGUGCCUUGGAUACUGGUAGGCUUGAGGGAGGUAGGGGCAUGCGGAACUUCCGGUGGAGCGGUGAAAUGCGUUGAUAUCGGAAGGAACGCCGGUGGCGAAAGCGGCGUGCUGGACCUCUUCUGACGCUGAGGCGCGAAAGCUAGGGGAGCAAACGGG
rnacentral:rRNA from 1 species